UACGGGGGGGGCAAGCGUUGUUCGGAAUUACUGGGCGUAAAGGGCUUGUAGGUGGCCAACUAAGUCAGACGUGAAAUCCCUCAGCUUAACUGGGGAACUGCGUCUGAUACUGGAUGGCUUGAGUUUGGGAGAGGGAUGCGGAAUUCCAGGUGUAGCGGUGAAAUGCGUAGAUAUCUGGAGGAACACCGGUGGCGAAGGCGGGUCUCUGGGCCGUAACUGACGCUGAGGAGCGAAAGCAUGGGGAGCGAACAGG
rnacentral:rRNA from 1 species